rnacentral:rRNA from 1 species
GCAGCCGCGGUAAUACGGAGGAUCCAAGCGUUAUCCGGAUUUAUUGGGUUUAAAGGGUGCGUAGGCGGUUUUAUAAGUUAGAGGUGAAAUUUCGGUGCUCAACACCGACACUGCCUCUAAUACUGUAGGACUAGAGAGUAGUUGCGGUAGGCGGAAUGUGUAGUGUAGCGGUGAAAUGCUUAGAGAUUACACAGAACACCGAUUGCGAAAGCAGCUUACCAAGCUAUAUCUGACGUUGAGGCACGAAAGCGUGGGGAGCAAACAGGAUUAGAUACCCC